rnacentral:misc_RNA from 1 species
UACGUAGGGGGCAAGCGUUGUCCGGAUUUAUUGGGCGUAAAGAGCGUGUAGGCGGCCUGGUAGGUCGGUUGUGAAAACUGGAGGCUUAACCUUCAGACGUCGACCGAAACCCCCAGGCUAGAGUCCGGAAGAGGAGAGUGGAAUUCCUGGUGUAGCGGUGAAAUGCGCAGAUAUCAGGAAGAACACCCGUGGCGAAGGCGGCUCUCUGGGACGGUACUGACGCUGAGACGCGAAAGCGUGGGGAGCGAACAGG